AUGCUCUCGGAGGGCGAGGAAUCGGUUGUUUGGCCCCAUUCUGCUUCUAGCAGAUUCAGUGUCAAGUCGUUGUACUCUAAGUUGAUCUCAGGGUCCCCCACCUCUAAGUUUAAGAACAUUUGGCCCGCUCGUGUUCCUCCUAAGAUAAAGAUCUUCUUAUGGCAAGCCUUCCAUGGCAGAUUGCCCGCGGCUGACCAGAUGCGAAAAAGGAAUGGGCCUGGCUCUGACAGAUGUGCUUUGUGUGGUGCCCUUGAGGAUACGCAACAUAUUUUCUUUCAUUGCCCCUUGGCUAAAUUCGUUUGGUGCUACAUCCGUUCCUGGCUCCAAGUUGCGUGGAACCCUUCCUCCUUUGCUGAUCUUAGGGCCUUUGCCAUGGGCCUGUCGGGGUCCUCUAAACGGGUUUUCUAG
rnacentral:rRNA from 1 species